rnacentral:rRNA from 1 species
UACAGAGGUCCCAAGCGUUGUUCGGAUUCACUGGGCGUAAAGGGUGCGUAGGCGGGCGGGUAAGUCUGAUGUGAAAUCUUCGAGCUCAACUCGGAAACUGCAUCGGAAACUAUUCGGCUGGAGGAUUGGAGGGGAGACUGGAAUUCUCGGUGUAGCAGUGAAAUGCGUAGAUAUCGAGAGGAACACCAGUGGCGAAGGCGAGUCUCUGGACAAUUCCUGACGCUGAGGCACGAAAGCUAGGGGAGCAAACAGG